UACGUAGGGGGGCAAGCGUUGUCCGGAUUUAUUGGGCGUAAAGAGCGUGUAGGCGGCCAAGCAGGUCAGCUGUGAAAACUCGAGGCUCAACCUCGAGACGUCGGUUGAAACCGUUUGGCUAGAGUCCGGAAGAGGAGAGUGGAAUUCCCGGUGUAGCGGUGAAAUGCGCAGAUAUCGGGAAGAACACCUAUGGCGAAGGCAGCUCUCUGGGACGGUACUGACGCUGAGACGCGAAAGCGUGGGGAGCGAACAGG
rnacentral:rRNA from 1 species